rnacentral:rRNA from 1 species
UACAGAGACUGCAAGCGUUAUUCGGAUUCACUGGGCGUAAAGGGUGCGCAGGUGGUCGUGUGUGUCAGAUGUGAAAUCCCGGAGCUUAACUCCGGAACUGCGUCUGAAACUGCACGACUAGAGCAUUGGAGAGGGUAGUGGAAUUCACGGUGUAGCAGUGAAAUGCGUAGAUAUCGUGAGGAACACCAGAGGCGAAGGCGACUACCUGGACAAUUGCUGAUACUCAGGCACGAAAGCAUGGGGAGCAAAAGGG